rnacentral:tRNA from 7 species
CGCGGGGUAGAGCAGUUGGCAGCUCGUCGGGCUCAUAACCCGGAGGCCGCAGGUUCAAGUCCUGCCCCCGCUA